GCGCCGCGCACCCGGUCCGUGCCACACGCUGUGCCCGCGCUUCAUGCACAUCCCCCACUUUCAUCCUCGCGACAGCCCUCUGAGAGCAGGAGGAGGAUUUCUCUGACUGAUAACUUUCUGAGAAGGUGCGGUGCUGAGUUGGACCACCCUGUACCCUGGUAAUAGGCUGUCUGCAGUUGCUGUGUUAGUGACUGGGGGUAAAGUAUUUUCACUUCAACCACAUCCUCCAAUCUAGCUCUUGUCAGCAAUGAUGAUGACAUUUUGAUCUCUACCUGGCUAACAUCUGCUUUUCUUCCUUAGUUCUGAACUCAGAAGGGGCAGAAAGAGUGUUUAUUGGUCUCCUAAAACUCCAACAGUGGUUGCUAUUGUUUUUCUUCCUGUUUCAAAGAUGAGGAAACCAGCCGGGGGUGGUGGCAGGUGCCUGUAGCCUCAGCUACUUGGAAGCCUGGGGUGGGAGGAUUGUUUAAGCCCAGGAGUUCAAGUUGUGCCUGGGCAACAUAGCGAUAUCCUGUCUCUUACCUGCCCCCCAACAAAAAAUGUAAAUUAAGGGGGAAAAAAGAGGAAACAGAAGAAUAGAGAAGUUCUGGAAUGUUCCACAGAGCUAGUCAGUGAAGUGGUAGAAAUAGCCAUUUGAAUCCAGGCAGUCUGACUGUAAGCAAGCAGCUUGGCUUCAAACUGCAUUUUAAAACCUUGUUUUUUUUCCUUCUUUCUCCCCAGUCUCAAGAUAUAACUUUGAGACAAGCUGCAUAUGUGUUUCCUGUCAUCUUGACAUACAGCCUUGGAAUGGACUGUGAACCUCCACUCCCUAUCCUUCCCCAUUCCAUGCUCCCAUGCCAUAUGCUCAUUUAUUUACCCAAACACUCGUCAAGCACAUACCAUGUUCACUUAUCUGGUCAUGUAUUUCCUUAGAAGCCUCAGGGGCUGGAUUUUUUUUUUUUUUUUUUUUUUUUUGCGAUGCAUAUUCUGGAAUAUGCAUUCCUGGAAUAUGCACCACCACAUCCAGCUAAUUUUUGUAUUUUUAGUAUAGACAGGGUUUUGCCAUGUUGGCUGGGCUGGUCUCAAACUCCUGACCUUGGGCGAUCUGCCCACUUCGGCCUCUCAAAGUGCUGGGAUUACAGGCCUGAGCCAUUGCGCCCAUCCAGGGGCUGGAUCUUGACAUGGACCGUAUGCCUGCAGAAUUCUCUCCCCGGUCAAGGCUGAAAUUUACUCCUAGCUACACUCACGUUCACACACGUUCACGCACUAGAAAUUAACUGCAAGAUUGGCUGAAGUUCAUUUGUAACCUGGUCAGGCCCAGGAUGGCACUGGCCCCUUCACCAAAGGGAACAAUAAUUCAAGAUAAGCUGUUGGAGUGGAUUGCACCACUGACCCCUCCUAGCCCCCUUCCUCUCCAUUCCAAACCCCUCUCUCUUUAAAAACCCCUGCAUUCCCUCCACAAAUUGAAGGGUGGAAAUUUUUGGAAAGAAUCUCACCCACUCCUUCCCUUAUUAGCAUGGAUAAUAAAAUCUCCUUAUCACA